rnacentral:rRNA from 1 species
AUUGAACGCUGGCGGCAGGCCUAACACAUGCAAGCCGAGCGGGGUUUUCGGACCUAGCGGCGGACGGGUGAGUAAUGCGUAGGAAGCUACCCGAUAGAGGGGGAUACCAGUUGGAAACGACUGUUAAUACCGCAUAAUGUCUACGGACCAAAGUGUGGGACCUUCGGGCCACAUGCUAUCGGAUGCGCCUACGUGGGAUUAGCUAGUUGGUGAGGUAAUGGCUCACCAAGGCGACGAUCCCUAGCUGGUUUGAGAGGAUGAUCAGCCACACUGGAACUGAGACACGGUCCAGACUCCUACGGGAGGCAGCAGUGGGGAAUAUUGGACAAUGGGCGCAAGCCUGAUCCAGCCAUGCCGCGUGUGUGAAGAAGGCCUUCGGGUUGUAAAGCACUUUCAGUUGGGAGGAAGGGUUGUGUGUUAAUAGUACACAGCCUUGACGUUACCAACAGAAGAAGCACCGGCUAACUCUGUGCCAGCCGCCGCGGUAACAC